rnacentral:lncRNA from 1 species
UAAGGUAACUAGUCCACGUGAGGACUGACCAUCCUUUCACCCAUCUGCCCACCUGUGCAUCCAUCCCAUUUUAUCCAUCCAUUCCUCCAGUGGUGGACACCACAUGACCUUCAGCUCCCCCGACCCCAACCAGAACUGUGCUGCAAUGGCCGUUCUUAUAUGCCCUUAUGGACCCAUGGGACAAUUUCUCUGUGAUACAUACUAGGAGCAGAAUUGUUAAAUCAUAGGGAAUGCAUGUGUUUAGCUUGGCUAAGCAAUGUUGGAGUAAAAGCUUUUGGUUUUGCAUCUUCUCAGCAUUCCUAGGGAGGCACCAAGAGGGAGGAUGGCACUGAGUGAGCCCACCUGAGAUAGCUUCUAGACCCCAGCCCUCUGUGUUCUCAGAAUCACACACUGCUGCUCAUCACUUCAGCUUCCUGAAGAUCAUGGCAAUAGCAGCAUGCCUGUAACUGUCCCAAGUACAUCCAAAAAUUCUUCCUAAAGAGAGGGAACCAAAGUCACAUGGGUCACUUUGUCCACCUGUGUGGAUGUUGCUCAUGUUCACAUACCUUUCCUUGCCUCCUUCAAGGCUGGUCUUGAACUCAUGACCUCAGGUGAUCUACCCGCCUCGGCCUUCCAAAGUGUUGGGAUAACAGUCGUGAGCCACCGCACUCGGCCCAAGCACUGGCUUUGAGAUAAGCAAUAUUAAAAACAUUUUCAGCUCCACCAGAUGCUGACUGACUGACCUCUAGCCACUGUUUCACCAGCCAUAACUACAGCUUUGGUUGGACAAGACUGAUUUCAGUAAUUUCUUCCCGACAAGAUGACCACCCACCAUGGACUGGUUCUGGCUGGCUUACAGAGCUCCUGCACUUGCAUGUCUUCAUGUCCUGAAAAGACAUUUUGCCAUAUAGGGCCUAAUUAUAAUACAUGUAAAUGUUAAGUCUUCACCCCAGAGUGACCAUGGGUUGUAUGUUACAUGCAUGUUUGUUCAAUAUGCGUGUGUCAGAACCACCUUCAUGAAUAUUCAUAGCUCCUCAUGUAACCUAUUGAAUAGGUAUGUUUAGUCAAUCCAUUGAGCAUGAAGCUCCUACCCUAACCCCUCCUCCUUUGAAGUUCCUGUCUCUGGUCUUGACUGGAGGCAUGCUUCCCAGCGGGUCUCACUCCCUUUCUGAGGCUGGAGUGCAGCGGUGCGAUCAUAGCUCACUGCACCCUCAAACUCCUGGGCCAAAGUGAUCCUCCUGCCUCAGCCUCCAGGUACCUAAGACUACAGGUGCAUGCCACCACACCAGGCUAAUUUUUAAAAUUUUGUGUAGAGAUGGGGUCUCACUAUGUUGUCCAGGCUGGUUAAGGCCUCCUGGGUUCAAGUGAUCCUCCUACCUUGGCCUCCCAAAGUGCUGGGAUUAUAGGUGUGAGCCACCAAGCCCAGCCUAACCCUUUAUAAGAAAUAAAGUCUCCUCCUUUCAAAAUUUA